rnacentral:rRNA from 1 species
AUUGAACGCUGGCGGCAGGCCUAACACAUGCAAGUCGAGCGGAGCGGCGGUCGGACGAGUAAUGCCUGGGAAUCUGCCUGGUAGUGGGGGAGAACGACCGGAAACGGGCGCUAACACCGCAUACUAUCAGAUGAGUCUAGGUGGGAUUAGCUAGUUGGUGGGGUAAAGGCCUACCAAGGCGACGAGCCGUAACUGGUCUGAGAGGAUGAUCAGUCACACUGGGACUGAGACACGGUCCAGACUCCUACGGGAGGCAGCAGUGGGGAAUAUUGCACAAUGGGCGAAAGCCUGAUCCAGCCAUGCCGCGUGUGUGAAGAAGGUCUUCGGAUUGUAAAGCACUUUAAGUUGGGAGGCGUUACCAACAGAAGAAGCACCGGCUAACUUCGUGCCAGCAGCCGCGGUAAUAC